AUUGAACGCUGGCGGCAGGCCUAACACAUGCAAGUCGAAUGGUAACAGGAAACAGCUUGCUGUUUCGCUGACGAGUGGCGGACGGGCGAGUAAUGUCUGGGAAACUGCCUGAUGGAGGGGGAUAACUACUGGAAACGGUAGCUAAUACCGCAUAACGUCGCAAGACCAAAGAGGGGGACCUUCGGGCCUCUUGCCAUCAGAUGUGCCCAGAUGGGAUUAGCUAGUAGGUGGGGUAACGGCUCACCUAGGCGACGAUCCCUAGCUGGUCUGAGAGGAUGACCAGCCACACUGGAACUGAGACACGGUCCAGACUCCUACGGGAGGCAGCAGUGGGGAAUAUUGCACAAUGGGCGCAAGCCUGAUGCAGCCAUGCCGCGUGUAUGAAGAAGGCCGUCGGGUUGUAAAGUACGUUCAGCGGGGAGGAAGGGAGUAAAGUUAAUACCUUUGCUCAUUGACGUUACCCGCAGAAGAAGCACCGGCUAACUCCGUGC
rnacentral:rRNA from 1 species